rnacentral:misc_RNA from 1 species
UUUAUUAAUAACCAAAAAAAUACAACUUUCUAGGAUUACGAAACACCGAACACGUUGUGAAUGUAAACAAAUACCUGUCAAAAAUUUACAUCCGUGUCAUAGCUAAUUUUAUACAUAAGGAUGUAAUUGAUAUUGUGAAAUAGUAUGAAAAUCAUAAGAGUUAUAUAUUUUAAACACAAGGCAGAUAAAUUGAAAAUAUGAAGAUUCACAAGGUUGGAAAUAUUGAAAAAGGAGAAGCGAAAGUUGUUAGGAUAGUUCAUAUUUCGGAUACACAUAUGAGACAUGAUCAAUACCAGGAAUCUAUUCCUGACGGUGAUAUUUUGAUUCACUCUGGUGACUUCUCUGCAUUUUCAGUCGGACGAUAUUUUGGAAAUAAAGAAAGAGAUAGGGAAAGUGUAAUCAGAGAAAUCAAUUCAUUCUUCCAAAAAUUGCAGUUCAAACACAAAGUCUUAGUAGCAGGUAAUCAUGAACUGAGUUUCAGUGAUAAAAAUAAAGACUUUGUCGAAGAGCAGUUAACUGAAGUAACUUAUCUGCAGGAUAAAUCUAUAACACUUGAAGGUUUGAACAUAUAUGGAACACCAUGGUCAGCAAAACGAGCAGUUUCUUAUGCAAGAGGAUUUGCAAAACCACGACAACAUUUGCAUCGCUACUGGGACAAAAUUCCAUCACAGACAGACAUACUUGUAACUCAUAUGCCACCUGAAGGUAUACUAGAUCUAGGAACGAAAACAUGUGCAGGGAUCAGAAAUUUAUUCUCCUCAAAUGACCCAUGUAAUAUAUGUGGAGACAUGCAUGAAAUGAAUGAACACUGGGGAUGCAAAGAGCUUAAAAAGACCAUUUUCAAAAGACUGAGGCCAACCCUACAUCUGUUUGGUCAUGUUCACGAGGGAAAUGGUGUGACUGUGGCUGAUGGAAUAACAUUUUCAAAUGCAGCAAUGAAACUUGAAGAAAAGAUCAACGUUUUUGAUUAUUAUUUGUGAUACUCAUUGAAUUAUUAGUGUUUGUUCUGCCAAAGCUCAUUUAAGGUAAAAAGCGUAAACUGGUGUUGAUUCUAAUACAGUAGAGUGAAAUCACUAUGAUGACAUAAAAUUUAUUUUGCAACACAUAUUUGAUUGAAACUUAGAUAUAAAUACUAGUUUACUGGGAAUUUCUUUACUCAGUAGGAUUAAGUGUAGAAACAAUCCACAGAAAUCAGUACACCAGUAAUAAUUUCAGAGCAAGCGAAGUAUGGCACUUUUUUGUGCAAAUUACUGCAUAAUGUGUUAGGGGUUUUUUUUGUCAUGUGGAUUGAAUUAGUUUUGGAGAUAAUUUCCAUGCAGAACUUUAACUUGUAUUUUCCAAGUCUAAAAAGGGGCAUAACUUUGCCAAAAUACAAUUCAGAGUUAUGGGACAUGCACCUUUCACUGUGUUUUAUCCAGCUCAAUAUCUUUUAUUAUAUGUUGAAAUUCAGUAUUUGCAUUUAAUUUAGAAGAAUGGGAAUAAUUUUAUUAAAAUUUGUGCAGGAGU